rnacentral:rRNA from 1 species
GCGCACCAGGCGAGAAUCCUCCGCAAUACACGAAAGUGUGACGGGGCCAUCCCGAGUGCCGUCCGCUGAGGACGGCUUUUCCCCAGUGUACACAGCUGGGGGAAUAAGGAGAGGGCAAGCCUGGUGUCAGCCGCCGCGGUAACACCGGCGGCCCGAGUGGUAAUCACUUUUAUUGGGUCUAAAGGGUCCGUAGCCGGUUUGAUCAGUUCUUCGGGAAAUCUGACAGCUCAACUGUUAGGCUUCCGGGGAAUACUGUCAGACUUGGGACCGGGAGAGGUAAGAGGUACUACAGGGGUAGGAGUGAAAUCUUGUAAUCCCUGUGGGACCACCAGUGGCGAAGGCGUCUUACCAGAACGGGUCCGACGGUGAGGGACGAAAGCUGGGGGCACGAACCGGAUUAGAUACCCGCGUAGU